AACGAACGCUGGCGGCAUGCCUAACACAUGCAAGUCGAACGAGACCUUCGGGUCUAGUGGCGCACGGGUGCGUAACGCGUGGGAACCUGCCCUUAGGUUCGGAAUAACUCCCCGAAAGGGGUGCUAAUACCGGAUAAUGUCUUCGGACCAAAGAUUUAUCGCCUUUGGAUGGGCCCGCGUUGGAUUAGCUAGUUGGUAGGGUAAAAGCCUACCAAGGCGACGAUCCAUAGCUGGUCUGAGAGGAUGAUCAGCCACACUGGGACUGAGACACGGCCCAGAAUCCUACGGGAGGGAGCAGUGGGGAAUAUUGGACAAGGGGCGAAAGCCUGAUCAAGCAAUGCCGCGUGAGUGAUGAAGGCCUUAGGGUUGUAAAGCUCUUUUACCCGGGAUGAUAAUGACAGUACCGGGAGAAUAAGCUCCGGCUAACUCCGUG
rnacentral:rRNA from 1 species